UGUACCUGGAUUAUUGAGCAUGCAUCAACAGACUGCUGUGCACUACACACAAAUCAGCUCUACACAGGAGCUGAGACGGUCGACUGGAUAACAACACAGAAAGAGAGAUCCUGUCAGUGAAAUAAGGGUGGAUGAGGUGAAGUGGUCUGACUGGAAUCACAAUCUUGGGAUCAUUCAUGAGGAUCCGGGACACAAGGAGCAAAACGAAUCCACACACAACACAAAACGACUCCGCCGAGAUCGCUGGUCCACGGUGGUUCCUCGAGCGGUGGAGCUCAGCAGAGGGAACAGAACCAGAGACCAUGUGGUGGAGAUGGAGCCUCUAAACGACAGAAACAGCUACAGCUGAAGGUGGGAACCGGACCGAACCGAGGAGGGGCAGAACUAAAGGGGUCUGAGAGAACAGCUAGAACCUCGGCACAGCAGUUCUUCUCGUUCUUCAUCAGGAACGUGCUGCUGGUGGUGAUCCUGAGGCUCAAAGUUCUUGCUGGUCACCCAACAGAGACUCAGAACCAGUUGGUUCAAACCCACCACAGUGAAGAGACGGAGCAAAGGAACAUCAUCAUGUCAUCACCUCAUCAAGUGAUCACCACAUCAGCGCAUCAUGUCAUCACUUCUUCAUCACGACAUGAUUUAGUAACCAGGGGUGCAGAAACUUUUGCACACGACUGCAGCUUCAUUCCUCGUGUGUUUUAUUAUCAUACGACUGAUUUAGUAGAAAUGUAAAAACUGUUAUUUAUUCCUGU